CAGUAGCCACGGGAAUACAGAGGGUGCGAGCGUUAAUCGGAUUUACUGGGCGUAAAGUGUGCGUAGGCGGCUAAUUGAGUCGGAUGUGAAAUCCCCGAGCUUAACUUGGGAAUUGCAUUCGAUACUGGUUAGCUAGAGUGUGGGAGAGGAUGGUAGAAUUCCAGGUGUAGCGGUGAAAUGCGUAGAGAUCUGGAGGAAUACCGAUGGCGAAGGCAGCCAUCUGGCCUAACACUGACGCUGAGGUACGAAAGCAUGGGGAGCAAACAGGAUUAGAGACCCCUGUAGUCCCUGUCUCUUAUAC
rnacentral:rRNA from 1 species